CAGCAGCCGCGGUAAUACGUAGGUCCCGAGCGUUGUCCGGAUUUAUUGGGCGUAAAGCGAGCGCAGGCGGUUAGAUAAGUCUGAAGUUAAAGGCUGUGGCUUAACCAUAGUACGCUUUGGAAACUGUUUAACUUGAGUGCAAGAGGGGAGAGUGGAAUUCCAUGUGUAGCGGUGAAAUGCGUAGAUAUAUGGAGGAACACCAGUGGCGAAGGCGGCUCUCUGGUCUGUAACUGACGCUGAGGCUCGAAAGCGUGGGGAGCAAACAGGAUUAGAUACCCCUGUAGUCCCUGUCUCUUAUACA
rnacentral:rRNA from 1 species